GAGGUUAUAGGUUAAAUGUUAUUAAACCAUGGGCCUUCAAAGCCCGGAAUGAGUGUUUCUAACCUCG
rnacentral:tRNA from 1 species